GUCCCGACAAAGGGUGGCAGACUGACGACCUCCCCUCGCUCUGAUCCUUCCUCUCAUCCCUCCAGAUCCGGCCUCUCACGCUCACUGUCGACCCUCAGCCAUGGCUAGGGUUUCGGGCGCGGCGUCCCCUUCGUCACCGGCGAGGCUCUGGCGGCCUACGGUGGCUCGUCCCGCCCACGUGUGGCUCUGUCUCAUGGACGUUCCUCCCGCGCCCGACGGCCACGGGUGGUCGUGGCGACGACCUCUUCAGCGGCGUCGCCGGACUAGCUCCACGCGCGGGAAAGGCAUCUCUGCGGGUUCCCCAAGGUGAGUGCGAUGCCGAGGAGAGAUGGCGUCGAGGACAGCAUCCGAGGACAUCAUCACGCUCAACGGCUUCGCCCCCAUCAUCAUCGAGUUCUUUGGUUACGUGGCAAACAGGUGUGCGACCGGCCGGCAAUCAGCGGCGCCAUCUCUAUCCCCCGACACUAGAUAAUGGCAUGGCUAAUGGCCUGCGCGGCGCGCCAUUAAUGCCCGUGCUCCCAGGCCAGUGCGGGCCGUCGCAGCUGCUUGCUCAAGGCGGCGUGCGGACUGCCUGGUUCGUGACCUUGAUUUUUUCAUAGAGAUAUAGUAGAAUCAGAUAUAGUGCGAGAAGCCAAUGGUAUUGCAAUGAGAUCUCAUAAUGUUAGUCUAUCCCUUGAGGAAGGGAGAAGGCAUUAUCGAUUAGUAGAUCACUGGUAAAUGUUAGAACUGCCGCGUUGAAUAAUAGCAACAGUGUUGGUGAACGUAUAAAGGAUCAAAUAGUGCAAACACUGACUGAAGCUGGUGGUCAGGUUGAUUAUGUUGAGGUAAGAUUGAAGCCUUUUUUAUUCAAGUGCCCUUACCGUUUUCUAUAAAGCAAUUUAUUUAUUCAUUGAGUUCGUUAGUAUAUCUUUACUUUAUUUACUGUCCUGCUGUAAUAUUGAUGUUGGCUGUAUCCUAGAGAACCUUUGAAAUCUACAUUUGUAGCUAUAGUUUGGCAAGAGCAGUUUGAUUAGCAGCCUAGAACCACUGAUCGCUCAUGGUGUGUGAGAUGAAUUGAAUUUGUUGCUUACUCUGGGAGGCUCACCGUGGUGUUCGGGCUGCUUGCCAUGCCGGCCGGAGCGCCCAUACAUGUGUUCAAGAACCUCCAGUGUGCGGCGAUUGCCACGCCGCAAUCAAGAUGGUCGCCAAGGCGUACGACAGAGAGACGACACGGCCAUGCCAUGAAGGUUGGAGAGGACAAUUGAUGCACUUGUUGCCGGAGUUGGCGUCCUUAUUUUCUCAAGCAAGCGUAGGUUCAGUGGAAUGGGAGCAUUGUUUUUGAAGGGCCAAGGCUGCAUAGUUUGUACGCACAUCAAAGAGAAACUUGGAAUGUUUUUGUGCUUGGAUCUCGUUCGGAAGUACUACAUCAUGCAAUACCCAAGUAAGUAUUUUCCUAUGAAAGUUUCUAUACUAUAUAAGAAAGUUGGUCUGAAAUAUUUGAGGCGUUGGCCUCUUCAGUGGCGUCACCUGAUGAGCUCCACGCGCAGAGGAGGCGUCUCCAUGGGUUCCCCGAGGAACAACAAGACAUUUGAAUUGGUUGCCGAUGACUUAUCAAUUCUUUGAAAUAGACUACGAUCCAUGGUGGCUGUUGAGAAAUCUUCACUUUGGAACUUGAUAAAAGAUGUAAAACCUUCGGAUCUAAGUAUAGUCCAUAGAGAUGUCCCUCCUGAAACUGUUGAUGCAAUGAAAAGGACUGUUUCAGGCAUAUUGGGUCUGCUUCCGUCUGAUAAGUGAGAGGGCGACCCCUGGCUCGGUACCUUGAUCAACUUGGAAUGGCAUCGAAGUACAACACAAAAGUGUUCUGCAGGCGGACUCUCAUCAGAGGCAACUACGGUUUGCUUGACACGAAGACAUUCUUACCUAUCCUAAUUACUACAGGCAAG